rnacentral:pre_miRNA from 1 species
UUCUUAUUGGAUGAUGACUGUCACGUGUCAUGUUCUGAUUGGUCAAUGAAAAUAAUAAUGCAUUUCAUCUUUCAUAGAAUUGAUAUCCAAUCAUGACAUAUGACAUUCAUACUCCAAUAAGAAUGUGACACGUGACAAUCAACGUUA